rnacentral:rRNA from 1 species
CCUACGGGGGGCUGCAGUGGGGAAUAUUGGACAAUGGGGGCAACCCUGAUCCAGCCAUGCCGCGUGUGUGAAGAAGGCCCUCGGGUUGUAAAGCACUUUCAGUGAGGAAGAACGCCUGGUGGUUAAUACCCAUCAGGAAAGACAUCACUCACAGAAGAAGCACCGGCUAACUCCGUGCCAGCAGCCGCGGUAAUACGGAGGGUGCGAGCGUUAAUCGGAAUUACUGGGCGUAAAGCGCGCGUAGGUGGCUUGAUAAGCCGGUUGUGAAAGCCCCGGGCUCAACCUGGGAACGGCAUCCGGAACUGCCAAGCUAGAGGGCCGGAGAGGAAGGUAGAAUUCCCGGUGUAGCGGUGAAAUGCGUAGAGAUCAGGAGGAAUACCAGUGGCGAAGGCGGCCUUCUGGACUGACACUGACACUGAGGUGCGAAAGCGUGGGUAGCAAACAGGAUUAGAUACCCGAGUAGUC